AGCAGGAUUAGGUAAAGGCCUAACCAUCUGAUGAUCUCUAACCCAAGCUCUAAGGACAGCUCGGGUAACUCCCGGAGUGAUGGUGGAAUCAGAUAAAGAGUCAUCCAUGAUCGGUACAGUCUGAUCUAUUCCCAUCUGCCUCAUAACGCGCGAAGCGCAGUACCAAGUACAAUGGGUAAGGCCUAAAAGGUAAACCUGAGUAUGGUGAGAGCUGACUUGAAUAAAGCGGGUAAUGCCGUACCAAGGUACAAACCAUAGCACUUCGUUUGGACCCAAUUCAAUCAGCCAUGAGGUCCAGGCAUCAGCAGACGGAUGUGUGAUCAAGAUCCUCCGCAUGCGAUACUGGACAGGGUUAUAAGGCAGCAAAGCGGGAGUGGCAACCACUUGGAGAUGGUCCUUCAACCAAACCUGAGUAAUGGAUCCUUUCUAUUACAAAGAGACAGGCCAAAAGAAGAAAAAGAAAAAAAUAGAAAAAGAAGAAAUACCUGAAGAAUAAUAGGAGAAACCGUCCAAUCCUCAAAGCCUAAAGCGGCUCUGUCGAGGCUCCUGAUAGUUUCUGCCAGCACAAUACCACCUAUGCAACCCAUAUCCUCCAUCUGCCGAACCAUGGGACAAAGUCGCAAAUCCCCGUAGCCCGGAUCCUUGUUGAACAAGAAGCCAGCCAAUAAACAAAAAACCAAGGCCCGCAUCCUUAGCCUCAUCCGGUCUGGGUCAUCUGAACAGACCCCUGAAAACUCAUCAAUCAGGGGCAACAAAAUUGCUUUCUGAGCCAACAACCAUGGCCCUAGCUUG
rnacentral:lncRNA from 1 species